rnacentral:rRNA from 1 species
UACGUAGGAUCCAAGCGUUGUCCGGAUUUACUGGGUGUAAAGGGUGCGCAGGCGGAUUAGUAAGUCAGAGGUGAAAUCUCGUCGCUCAACGACGAAACUGCCUUUGAUACUAUUAAUCUUGAGUACGGUAGAGAUUUGUGGAAUUCCGAGUGUAGCAGUGAAAUGUGUAGAUAUUCGGAAGAACACCAGAGGCGAAGGCAGCAAAUUGGGCCGAUACUGACGCUCAGGCACGAAAGCAUGGGGAUCAAACAGG